CUAACCCUCCCCUUCUCUUCUCCUUUCAUCCUUGGCCAUUGUUGGCAGCCUAAAGGCUGAUUUUGGAGGUUUUCUUGGGCUUGUUUGUGGAUCUUAAAGAUUAAUCAAUUGCCUCUUCAAGUGAAGCUUGAGGAUCUCCUUUCUCCCCUCUUGUGAAGAUCUCCUUGGAGUUUUAAGAAACUUGGAGGUGGGAGUGUAGAACUCUAGCUGGAUAUUCAUCGGUUAGCCAGAGUUACCAACCGGUGAACCGAUGGGUCAACGUCAAGGGCCUGAGUACCUUAACGGCCCCGAACCUAGCCGCGGCCACGGUGAAGGUUUAGGGAUGCUUCUAGACCACCUUAUGCUGGGUGUCAGUUCAGUGAAGUGAUGCGGACGUGGAGUGCAUGGCAAGAGUUGGUUUUAGAGUAGUUACUUGAGUUAAUUGUGCAUGUUCUUAGUUAUUGCCAUGUACAGUGUGGAAUCCUUUAAUAUAAGUAACUUGUUAACUUAUGUAUUCAUUUCUGUAUCUUAAGAACCCUUGCAUUAGUUGUGGUCUAAGUGUUGCAUGAGAAACCAUACUCAAUGUUUGGUUUGUAUUAAAAUCUUGUAUUUUGAAGUGUGAGCACUAUGUCCCCUAUCCUUAGUUUGUCAAGUUAGUCUUGUGCAGAGAAUUGUUACAUUCACUUUAUUGUUAAGUUUGUUCAGAGAGCAGGUUAGCCUUACGAUGAUCAAGGGUUGAGAUAGUGUUUAACCUCCCUUGAAUUAUCGUGGCGGUAUGUUGCGUAUGAGACCUGUGUGUCAGGGCGUGACAUACGUUAGGGGUAUCAGAGCCUGAGGUUUAGGUUUAGACAACAUAACCUAGACCUAGAGUUUGUUUCUUGAUUGGGUCAGAAAUUUGAUUUUUCAUCCUUGUAAUUAGUGAAUCCCAAUAGAGUUCUAUAUAUAGCAUUAAUGCAUAUAGAAUUUUUUUUUUUUUAAGGUUACCUUGGUGUUCUUUUUAGUCAGUUAUGCCAGCACAGCACUUGCACACACAUCGCAAAGCUGUUACUCCAAUCUGUAAGUCUGCUCUUUUCUUGUCUAAGCAGAAGAUUUUCUUAUUGUUGUAUUCUUGUUGUGCUUUCUAUUGAAAGUUUCUAUAUUUUCUGCGGUACUGUAGUUAUCAUCCUCCUCUCAUCUCUUAGCCUGGGAUAUGUUGUUUUAAGUCAUUGUACGUGCAACUUGGUGUGAUUGGGUCUGAAUGAGUAGAUGUAAAAUAAU